CCUGGUUAUUAUUUCCAAAAAUGGGGAACAGAAAAACACAAUGUUUUAAGCCAGUCUCUCUUAAUGUACCUGCAUUUUGCCAGACUGCUCCUCCUUCUUCUUCUCCCCACUAGCUGCAAUUGUUGCAAAGUACUGGAUGACACGUUUCGUGUUCACAGUCUUCCCUGCACCGGAUUCUCCGCUGUCGAACCAAACAGAGAAGCAGAGAGCGUGAGGUCAGGGAGAAGGUCCCCUGGCACAGGGCAGCCCCGCAGGGACCCGAUCAGGGAGUGUACUUACGUGAUCAGGAUCGACUGAUUCUCACGGUCUGUGAAAAGAUAGAGAUAAGAAGGGUUUUCCUACUGCUCAUGAAUAACUACAAACGUAGGAUCUAGGAGAAAAAUAUGAACUGAAAUCUGCAGGGGUUGCAGGGAUAGAAGGCAAUGAAAAUCCCUGAAUAUUUCAGUUAAUGUGUAGCAGUGCUUUGUAGCCCCACUACAUGCAUUCUCAACGUGUUCAGUAAAAAUACCACUUCAGAGUAACUUUUAUGUUCUUUUACAGAUAUAUGCCUUCCAUAUGCCUUUAAUGGUAUUCUUUUUUUCAUCUGAUUUGUCUAAUAUUUGCUAAGUAUACAUGACACAAUUAUUGAGAUUGGGGAUUGAUCUCACUUAAAUUCUCCUGGAGAUAAAAUAUAGCUGAGAAAAUCUGGAGAGCUCACGAACAAUAACGUCUAACCAAUCUUUCUCAUCAUUUUUCACUUGUUUCAUUUUUCAUCCUACAUAUACAGAAAUUAUAUAUUUCUGAGAUCAUAAAAAGACAGGUUUUAUUCUAUUCUUUAUUUACUUUCCAUCAUGUAACAAAACAGGAAAAGAAGAUAUAAACUCUGUACACCAUUGAUUUCAGUUCACUCAUUGGAAAGAGAAAAUAAUAAGAAGGAAAAGAUAAAGUCUAAAGGAAAUAAAUUCAUGAAAGUCAGUCAGGUUGAAUAUUAAAAGCUUUUUAUUUUCCCUUUUAAACAUUUUUUCUAAAAGCAUUGCAUUUUAUGCUCAUUCUCAAUAGAUCAGUGUAGUCUAGACCAGACACUAAGUGUCUUCUUGCCUUGUAGACUAUAUUCAUUAAACAGUCC
rnacentral:lncRNA from 1 species